UCCAUAAAAGCCAUCACUCUUCUAGAACAUUCGAUGUUUUUUGCUGCUCUACUGAAAGCAGCACAGUAGGUUUCCAUGACAACUGUGUAUCCUCAGAAUCAACCAUAAGGCCAACUGUCCCCAUUUUCCAAGUACCGGUUUUCUAUUACUUGAUACGGAAAUCACCAGAUGUUUAUGCAUGUGGGAACCAGACUUGGGCCUGUUGGUUCUGAUCCUGUGGUUAGCAUAUGCUGCUUAGAAUGAAGGAAAGGACACAGGGCUUUUAAAAAAGUGAGCAACCAGGUUCUAAGUAGGCUCAGCAGAGGAGAACACAUGCCUGUCUCUACCUUCACAGGGUCAGGUACUUCUACAAAUCACUCUGCUUUACAGUUCUCUUCUGGCUGUUUUGUUCGUCCUGAGAGGAACAACUGCAACAUUCAAUUCAGACCUGUGAUUGGAGAGGUACAGUCUUUUCUCAAGACAAUAGAAAAACUGUGUAUAUAUAUAGGAGGCUGCUUUAGCAGAGAGAGAGAGAGAGAGUCUGAAGUCACCAGAUGAAGAGUGAAGAAGCUGCGUUUUGGAAGCGAGCGUGGAGAGUCUGCAGCUACAAGAGCUGGAGUGUGCAGAGAAAAGGAGAGAGAAGUCAGAAGGACAAGAAGUAAAUGUUGGAGAGCUGAAGGAACUGAGUCCAGUCCAAGCGGAGGGGCCGCAGCCAGUCAAAGCUGAAGAAUUGUGAGCCCAGGCUAGAGAGGAUCAAUGCUGUGGCUGUAGCAAGAGCUGGAAUCACAGAAGCAGGCUGGAUUAUUGAACUCCAGGCUUCUACUGUGACCAGGACAAGAGACUGCCGAAGGAAAAGCCAGAGUUGCUAAAGGUGAUUUUGGGGUCCCUUUUUAAGGGGUGUCCCGCGCCCUCCCAGCUAGCCUGGGCAAGGCUGACUCUUGCCUCUUAUGCCAAUUAACAGAGACAAGCAGGAGAUUCUUUUCAGUUUCUUUAUUCAGCUGAGCAAAGCAAACCGGGCAUCCCCUCUCAUAAUCAUGCAAGAAGUGGCGCGUCCAAGAGAGUUUUACAGGCAUUUUUAUACCCUUAGGUAAACAAGCUCACCCCACUUCCCCAUUCCCUAUAUACGGUCGCCCUCUUGAUCAGAGAAGUUCUAUUGGUCAUUUUAAGCAAGUUGUUUUUCUAUACAUUAUCAUACACACAUUUCGUCAGGCUGUCCUUAUGCCAGGCCCCCAACUCCCUUGUCCCUUCCUUGCGGUUUCUAGGCUUGAGCAAUUUGCAACCGUCAGCAACCAACUGUCUGGCCAAUUGUUUGUUUUGUGAUUAGUUCAUAAAAAUCCCCUUCUCUGACCUUUUCCUAAUUUUAGCAGACUGUCUCUCUGUCUCUGUUCCCUAAUAGUUGCAAGCAGGCUUACAGAAGCAAAGAUGGCGCUGGUUACGCUAACUUAGCUUUCGCAGAACCCUUCAGCGAUCAUCAAGGACUCUAAGUUAGGGCUCAGUGAGGGUCAGGUUAGCGGAAGUGUUUUUGACCACAUUCUGUUUGUUCCCUAUGCUCUUUUGGUUGAUGAUUUUGUUUUAUAUAUACUAAACUUGUGAAGCAACUAUUGAUUUAAAGUGAACUAACUGCAAAAUAAAAUUACUUGUUUAUC